AUAAACAGACUGAGGCCAACAAAGGUGAAGACAGUUGCCUAAAUAACACAGCUUAUUUGCAGAAGAGCUAACAAGCGUUGAGUCGAUACUAUUUUAGCUAUAUUGUGUGACUUUUUGUACCAGAGAACUUACAAAAAUCAUCAGGGCCAGAUGGCCUGCAAGAUAUUGGAUCAUUAGGACAUAAAAAUUAGGUAGAAUCAAGAACGUCGGUGCUCACCCAGUAUGAGGAUCAUACGAAUUGGUGGUUGGAAAAGCAUUGAAAUGUCACUGACUUUGACUGUCAGAUGUGUGGGGUCAGGCAGGCAUGUGUUUCUCGGAUGCUCAUUGUAGCUCUUGCUUAUCCAUUUUUAUUAACUGAUCCAGUGACUCACAAGGAAGUUGGCAUUAUUGUGUGUGGAACAGCAGCAGAGCUUACUAACAUUCUCAGCUACAAAACAAAAAAUAACGAACCAGAGACUUCAGCUCAGUUCUUGUGAUUGGAGUUGUGUUUCCUCCAGAGUGACGAGCAUGGUAUAAGACGCCUCGCCCUGCACCCCAUCACGGCUCUCCCCAGACAGCCCUGACAGAGGGUAGGUACAACAAACACACAUUGCUCAGUCGCUGCCGUCACCUCUCCAAGCUUCUGUUCCAUUCUCCACUCUCACAUUAUCCACUGUCAUGAAACAAAAGGAGAAAAAGAAGAGAAAAACUACGUUCAAAAUGUUUAUUGUUACCAUGAUCAUUACUGUUGUUAUUUAUUAUACUGGUUUAUUUUAGAAGGAAAAUAAUUUGGGUUUAGAGGUGCUUAGAGGUGGAUUGUGGGAAUUUAUAGUGUAGUCGUGGGACUAUAAGGAUGAAGGAACCAUUGCCCUUAAAAAAAAUUAGGAACUUG
rnacentral:lncRNA from 10 species